UACAGAGGGUGCGAGCGUUGUCCGGAAUCACUGGGCGUAAAGGGCGCGUAGGCGGCUUGAUAAGGUUGCGGUGAAAGCCCGGGGCUCAACCCCGGGUCGGCCGUGGCAACUGUCGAGCUGGAGCACUGUAGAGGCAGGUGGAAUUCCGGGUGUAGCGGUGGAAUGCGUAGAGAUCCGGAAGAACACCGGUGGCGAAGGCGGCCUGCUGGGCCGACACUGACGCUGAUGCGCGAAAGCUAGGGGAGCGAACGGG
rnacentral:rRNA from 1 species